rnacentral:tRNA from 1 species
UGGGCUCGUAGUUCAACGGUAGAAUGCUCGCAUGGCAUGCGAGUGGUUGUGGGUUCAAAUCCCGCCGAGUCCAU